rnacentral:tRNA from 1 species
GCAGUGUUGACAGAGAGGUAAUGUGUCCGGUUGCUAACCGGUAGCCAUCCGAAAGGGUGAAUAGGUUCGAUUCCUAUACACUGCG